rnacentral:rRNA from 1 species
CAGGUCGAAGGUGUAGCGUAUGGGGUGGGAAGAAAUGGGCUACAUUCUCUACUAUAGAGAAUACGAAUUGUAAUUUGAAAAAAAUUACCUGAAGGAGGAUUUAGCAGUAAGUAGGGACUAGAGUGCCCUGCUGAAAACGGCCCUGAAGCGCGCACACACCGCCCGUCACUCUCUCCAAAUAAACCCUAGAUAUUACCUAAAAUGCUUUUUAUAAUAAGGGGAGGCAAGUCGUAACAUGGUAAGCGUACCGGAAGGUGCGCUUGGAUGAAC